AGUCAACAUGCCCAGGGGACGUGGAUAACCUCGGGAAACUGAGGAUAAACCGCGAUAGGCCAAGAUUUCUGGAAUGGAUCAUGGCUUAAAUCUAUAUGGCCCCUGGAUUGGACUGCGGCCGAUCAGGCUGUUGGUGAGGUAAUGGCCCACCAAACCUGUAACCGGUACGGGCUCUGAGAGGAGGAGCCCGGAGAUGGGCACUUAGACAAGGGCCCAGGCCCUAUGGGGCGCAGCAGGCGCGAAACCUCUGCAAUAAGCGAAAGCUUGACAGGGUUACUCUGAGUGAUUUCCGCUAAGGAAGUCUUUUGGCACCUCUAAAAAUGGUGCAGAAUAAGGGGUGGGCAAGUCUGGUGUCAGCCGCCGCGGUAAUACCAGCACCCCGAGUGGUCGGGACGAUUAUUGGGCCUAAAGCAUCCGUAGCCGGUCCUGCAAGUCCUCCGUUAAAUCCACCCGCUCAACGGUUGGGCCGCGGGGGAUACUACAGGGCUAGGAGGCGGGAGAGGCAAGCGGUACUCGAUGGGUAGGGGUAAAAUCCACUGAUCCAUUGAAGACCACCAGUGGCGAAGGCGGCUUGCCAGAACGCGCUCGACGGUGAGGGAUGAAAGCUGGGGGAGCAAACCGGGUUAGAUACCCGGGUAGUCCCAGCUGUAAACGAUGCAGACUCGGUGAUGGGCUGGCUUCGUGCCAACCCGGUGCCGCAGGGAAGCCGUUAAGUCUGCCGCCUGGGGAGUACGGUCGCAAGACUGAAACUUAA
rnacentral:rRNA from 1 species